rnacentral:rRNA from 1 species
UACGUAGGGGGCAAGCGUUGUCCGGAAUCAUUGGGCGUAAAGCGCGCGUAGGCGGCUUUGUAUGUCGAUUGUGAAAGCCCCGGGCUCAACCUGGGAACUGCAGUCGAAACUGCAAAGCUUGAAUGUUGGAGAGGUUGGGGGAAUACCUAGUGGAGAAGUGAAAUUCGUAGAGAUUAGGUGGAACACCAGAGGCGAAGGCGCCUGACUGGCCAAACAUUGACGCUAAGGCGCGAAAGCGUGGGUAGCAAACAGG